rnacentral:rRNA from 1 species
AACGAACGCUGGCGGCGCGUCUUAAACAUGCCAGUCGAACGGCAGGAAGGGGCUUGCCCCUUCUGAGAGUGGCGGACUGGUGAGUAACACGUGGGUGACAUACCUUUUAGUUGGGGAUAGCUAUUAGAAAUAGUAGGUAAUACCGAAUGUGACCGUACCUGUUAGAGGGGUACGAGGAAAGGAGCUAAGGCUUCGCUAAAAGAAUGGCUCGCGGCCCAUUAUGCUCGUUGGUGAGGUAACGGCCCACCAAGGCGAUGAUGGGUAUCCGGCCUGAGAGGGUGAACGGACACAUUGGGACUGAGAUACGGCCCAGACUUCUACGGGAGGCAGCAGUUAAGAAUAUUCCGCAAUGGACGAAAGUCUGACGGAGCGACACCGCGUGGAUGAAGAAUGCCGAAAGGUUGUAAAAUCCUUUUAAGCCUGAUGAAUAAGCACAGUAGGGAAUGAUUGUGCGGUGACCGUAGGGCUUGAAUAAGCACCGGCUAAUUACGUG